AAAAUCUAGACGAAAGUCUGCCAACCUCUGUGAACUUGCCUGAUCAGGUGGUGACUGUCAAGUUGGGACGGUUUCCGUCUCGAUGCAAUAGUCGUCACCUUUAUUUUACUAUAAAUAUACAAUCUACUUCAUUACCCGAUGUGCCUUGUGCCAUCAAAAAAA
rnacentral:misc_RNA from 1 species